AGGUGUGGGGUCUGUUUCCACGGANUCCGCGCCGUAGCUAACGCAUUAAGUGCCCCGCCUGGGGAGUACGGCCGCAAGGCUAAAACUCAAAGGAAUUGACGGGGGCCCGCACAAGCGGCGGAGCAUGCGGAUUAAUUCGAUGCAACGCGAAGAACCUUACCAAGGCUUGACAUACUUGAGAAGCCGCCAGAGAUGGUGGUCUCUUUGGACACUCAUGUACAGGUGGUGCAUGGUUGUCGUCAGCUCGUGUCGUGAGAUGUUGGGUUAAGUCCCGCAACGAGCGCAACCCUCGUCCUAUGUUGCCAGCACGUGAUGGUGGGGACUCAUAGGAGACUGCCGGGGUCAACUCGGAGGAAGGUGGGGAUGACGUCAAAUCAUCAUGCCCCUUAUGUCUUGGGCUUCACGCAUGCUACAAUGGCCGGUACAAAGGGCUGCGAUACCGCGAGGUGGAGCGAAUCCCAGAAAGCCGGUCUCAGUUCGGAUUGGGGUCUGCAACUCGACCCCAUGAAGUCGGAGUCGCUAGUAAUCGCAGAUCAGCAAUGCUGCGGUGAAUACGUUCUCGGGCCUUGUACACACCGCCCGUCAAGUCAUGAAAGUCGGUAACACCCGAAGCCAGUGGCCCAACCUCU
rnacentral:rRNA from 1 species